rnacentral:tRNA from 1 species
GGAUGUAGAUAAGUGGUAGAGUGCUUGCCUAGUAUGCAUGAGGUCCUUGGUUCAAUCCCUAACACCG